AUAAUAAUAAUAAAGCCCUACCUCGUUUUAAGUAUUUUAACUCUCGAUCACCGCUACCCUUUCCGAUUGAUCUGGAGCCCCGUAACGCAUGUCAAGGCUCUGCCCGACUAAGUUCGUUUGGGAUCGGUCUCGUGACAUAGGGAUAAGGUUGAUUUAGGGGUACUAUAAUUAACACAAGUGAAUAUAUAUAUAUAUAUAUAUACAUAUAUAUAUAUAUUUAAAAAUAGCUCGGGAGUUAUACCCAAGAUUUAUACCAGGAGGCUUUCUAAUUAAACCCUAAAGUUACAAAGUGAGUCCAUUCUCUUUUCUCAACAUUUUAUUCCCUUUUUGUGAUAUAAUUAUAUUCAAAAAUGUCCCAAACCGACCCAUAAAUAAAAACCCGGACCCCCAAAACCCUAAUCCAUAUCAAAAAUCAAGAAAUCAAGAUUUGUGGUCUUCAGACGGGCCGCGUAAAGAUUCAGCAUAGUCUUACGCGGGCCACGUCAAUGUGGAGUUGACCGGAUAAGCGUCUAGAUCCACGUGUAACCCACGUGGCACACCUACUCAUGACCCAGCAAGCCUACACGUAGACUAGACCUCCUCGCGGGCCGCGUAAGGUUGGUCUUAGGGUUCACGCGAGCCGCGACAACCCCAGAAAUCAGCUAUAAAUAGUUUGGUCAUGAGCAGUUCGUCUGUGUUCGACAAAUUCUCUCAAAAUAAAGAUUUACUGCAUAAAAUCAUAUUUUCCAUUAAGGAGGCGCUGCCACGAUACAGGAUGAUGAGCUGAACAGAGAAAAAGCCAGGAUUUGAUUUCAAAGGCGAUAACUAAUUCCAGACAGAAAAUCUCGGCUUGAUGAAAGGGGGAGUCUGACGAGAUUAGAGCUUGAGAAAGAUCCAGGUACAUUAUUCCAGGAGAAUUCCUGAAGAAGGCCGAUCAAGAUUGAAGAGUCGUCAUGUUGAAGACUCUCACUGAAGAUUCUGUCAACAUUCAAGGGGGAGUCUGUUGGUGCAGUUGUCUGUCGACUUCAUCUUCGUUCGAGUCUUGUUCUAGAUAAGAUAAAUCAUGACACGGAAAAUGAGGAAAUAUGUGUUUAUGGGUAAUUCCGCUUGAAAUGACACAUGGUCAUUUCAAGCGAAAUCAAGUUGGUAUUUCCGCUUGAGUGGUGAUUUCACUUGAACAAGUGAUUCCGCUUGAGCAUGUUCAAGCGAAAUCACAUGCCUAUAAAUACCUCCUCAAGCGAAAUUAGUGUUAAUCUUCUUGUUUCCGAUGCCGAAGUGCUGUCGAAGUGUCUCCAAGUCUGUAAACGUGUUCUAAUCAAUACAAGAGACAGUUAAUAGUGA